UACGGAGGGUGCAAACGUUGCUCGGAAUCAUUGGGCGUAAAGCGCACGUAGGCGGACCGCUAAGUCGGAUGUGAAAGCCCUCGGCUUAACUGGGGGAACUGCGUCCGAUACUGGAUGGCUUGGAUUUGGGAGAGGGAUGCGGAAUUCCAGGUGUAGCGGUGAAAAUGCGUAGAUAUCUGGAGGAACUCCGAUGGCGAAGGCAAGGUGCUGGACCCUCUCUGACGCUGAGGCGCGAAAGCCAGGGGAGCGAACGGG
rnacentral:rRNA from 1 species